CCUGGGUCGAUUCCCUUCUCGUUCUCCUCACAGCGCCUCCUCCUCUCCAAUCCCUAACCCUAACCCUAAGGCGACGGCGCCGUCGCCCGCGGCCUCUCCCCUUCACCAACGGCGCCAUCUCGUCCGAGUCCGAGCUGGAGGAGCACGUGUACGUCGGGGAUGCAGCAAGGCCAGCAUGCCAUCGGUCCCGCCUUCCCUGGUUCCUCGCCGAGCGCCACGAAGAGGAAGAGAGAAUGGUGAAGGAGAAGGGAAAGGGUGCUGGUAAGGAGAAUGGGAAGGCGAAGGGUGCUGGUAAGGAGAAUGGCAAGGCGAAUGGGAAGGCGAAGGCAAAGGAAAAGAGCUUGAAUUACCUAAUUAGGCAAGAUUCGCCGCUGCCUCUGCCGGUUCCGAGGAAGAAGAGCAAACCUAAGGUGCAGAUUAGGAAGGAGAAAGACUUUCCCAAUGCCCCAAUGGGAGAGUUGAUUUGUAGCUUAAAAAAACACCCUCCACCUCCUCCGCGUCUCCCUGACCGCACCGGUGCCGGCGUGCGUGCCGCGGAAGCCGCUGCCUCCGGCUCCGCAAUCGGCUCCGAGCUGCCUCAUGCAUCUACUAUUGUGGUAGAGGACGAGGAGAAGGAGGAGGACGACGAGGACGAGGAGAAGGAGAAUGAGGAGGACGACGAGGACGAGGACAUAGAUGAGGACAAGGACAAGGAAUAUGAGGAGCAGAAUCUGUUUGUGGUUCCUCCAUUGCAAGCGGGCUGGUGA
rnacentral:rRNA from 1 species